CUUUUUUUGAGACAGGGUCUCACCCUGUCACCCGGGUUGGAGCACAAUGGCGCCAUCACAGCUCACUGAAGCCUUGACCUCCUGGUCUCAAGCAACCUUCCCACCUCAGCCUUUCAAGUAGCUGGGACUACAGGUAUGUACCACCACCGCUGACUAAUUUUUUUAAAUUUUGUGUGGAGGUGGGGUCUCACUGUGUUGCCCAGGCUGGUCUCAAACUCCUGGACUCUGGCGAUCCUCCAACCUCAGGCUUCCGAAGUGCUGGGAUUACAGGUGUGAGCCACCAUGCCCAGCCUACAUUUCUUCAGGAAUAUCUUUUUGUGUGUAUUUUCCCUUGAGGGAUUCUGACUCUACUCUCUCUAUUCCCUUCAUCUUUCUAAAUUAGUGAUAUUUUCCUUCAUAAUAAAAAUUAGAUUUACAAAAGGAAUAAAGCUGACAAAAUGAAGUUCAUCAAUGCUGCUAUUCCCAGUUGGCAAUAUCUGGUCAAGGAAACAGGAUGGCUGAAUAAAGCCUGUGGCCCACCAGGUAGCUCAGAGCUCCUGCAUGUCUUCUUGUUUUCUGUGACAGUGUAACAGCAGCACACUGUCACAGAUGCAGGUGAUCCACCCUUUCCUGCCAGACCACAUUUUCUCUUCUCACAGACCAGCAUUCACAAGGCAAGAAGAAUUUUACUUCACUUUACUCAUCAUUGACAAAGGCUGCCCUAAGACCAUCUUCCAGGUUCAGGUCUAAAUUAAAUGAAAAAAUGACAGAAGGAAGAAGGAAACUACCAUUUCUUGAAGCUUCAUGACUACCCAUGCACAAAGUGAGCUUUGUACAAAACACAUGGAACCCUCUUCCUGCCCAUUACCAAAUAUCAUAAGCAACAGAAAGGACGACGGAGCAAGGGGAGAGAAUUUUUUUACGAAUGGAGAGAAAGACAGAAUUUGCUAUAUAAACUAGAGUUCUUGAAUUAAUUAUCUCUGAUCACAUCCCUUGUUAGUUUGCACAAGACUCUGUGUGUGUGUGUGUGUGUGUGUUUUUACACAAGACCAAUUUCUAACACAUGGGAAGAACAACAUCUAGAGUUCCCAACUAAAGGAUCCACUUUCCAGUUUCAUCAGUCUCCACACUGAAUUACAGAAUUUCCUUUUCAACUGUCGGUAUUAACAAGAGACGAAAGAAGAGAAGAGAGAAAGGAGAAACAGGAGGGAAGAAGGAAGAAAGUGUACUUGGAAUGAUGUGUAUGGGAAAAUGUAACUGUAACUAAAUACUUACUAGUGACAACUUCGUAGUUCCUAUGAAUCAUUAUCACACUUACUGUAAAAGCUGCUGAAGUCUUUUCUUUCAUGAAGCGUUAUUAAAAGUCAUAUUGCAGUAGCUGGCAUUGGUGCUUUGCUUUGGGUGUAAGGUAGGCAAAGUGCUAUUUUGUGAGAAUAGGUUAGAUCAAUCUGAAUUUUCGACCUGACCUUCCCCUCACCCCUAAUAACUUCCUGGUUCCUUGGUCACAGAGUGAUUUAUGAGCAAGAACAAAGAAUGAUGUGUCUAUCCCAGAAGCAAGGGAAACUAGAAAACUUAUUAAGGAGAAAAAAAAAUGCAGAAGGA
rnacentral:lncRNA from 10 species